rnacentral:snRNA from 1 species
GGGAUAAAUGUCAUUUAAAUCA